AACGAACGCUGGCGGCAGGCUUAACGCAUGCAAGUCGAGCGCCUCGCAAGGGGAGCGGCAGACGGGUGAGUAACGCGUGGGAACGUACCCUUUACUACGGAAUAGCUCCGGGAAACUGGAAUUAAUACCGUAUGUGCCCUUUGGGGGCAAGAUUUUUCGGUAAAGGAUCGGCCCGCGUUGGAUUAGCUAGUUGGUGGGGUAAAGGCCUACCAAGGCGACGAUCCAUAGCUGGUCUGAGAGGAUGAUCAGCCACAUUGGGACUGAGACACGGCCCAAACUCCUACGGGAGGCAGCAGUGGGGAAUAUUGGACAAUGGGCGCAAGCCUGAUCCAGCCAUGCCGCGUGAGUGAUGAAGGCCUUAGGGUUGUAAAGCUCUUUCACCGGAGAAGAUAAUGACGGUAUCCGGAGAAGAAGCCCCGGCUAACUUCGUGCCAGCCGCCGCGGUAACAC
rnacentral:rRNA from 1 species